UAUAACGACUCUCGGCAACGGAUAUCUCGGCUCUCGCAUCGAUGAAGAACGUAGCGAAAUGCGAUACUUGGUGUGAAUUGCAGAAUCCCGUGAACCAUCGAGUCUUUGAACGCAAGUUGCGCCCGAAGCCAUCCGGUUGAGGGCACGUCUGCCUGGGCGUCACACACC
rnacentral:rRNA from 1 species